rnacentral:pre_miRNA from 1 species
UAAAGUGCUUAUAGUGCAGGUAGUGAUUAAUAAUCUACUGCAUUACGAGCACUUAAAGU